rnacentral:rRNA from 1 species
GUGUCAGCAGCCGCGGUAAUACGGAGGAGGCAAGCGUUAUCCGGAAUUAUUGGGCGUAAAGCGUCCGUAGGUGGUUUAGUAAGUCUGCUGUUAAAGCGCGGGGCUUAACUCCGUAUCGGCAGUGGAAACUACUAGACUAGAGUGUGGUAGGGGUAGAGGGAAUUCCCAGUGUAGCGGUGAAAUGCGUAGAUAUUGGGAAGAACACCGGUGGCGAAGGCGCUCUACUGGGCCAUAACUGACACUGAUGGACGAAAGCUAGGGGAGCGAAAGGGAUUAGAAACCCCUGUAGUCC